GGGUCUGUAGCUCAGGUGGUUAGAGCGUACGCCUGAUAAGCGUAAGGUCAGUGGUUCGAGUCCACUCAGACCCACCA
rnacentral:tRNA from 1 species